rnacentral:misc_RNA from 1 species
UGUACGGGAUACGCUUGGAUCCUACGGCGGCUCCUACUUUCGGUGGUGCUGUCGGAAGGUUCGGUGUAUCCCGUCUUGCGAUGGGACGACGCAUGAGUGGUGUCUAGGAUAUGUUUCCAUGCAGGCUCCUUGUAUCUUUCAUCGAACUGCGUGGGUCUAUCUAUUUCAUUCGUGGGUUCGCCUCGACGUACUCAGGUUCGGUUGCGAAUACUCGUUGUGUUACCGUGCUCGAUAUUGAAUUAUGUAGUUGGAUGGAUCGGUGUUCCUCGUAUUGUUUAAUUGAUUCUCCUCUGCCAUGCGCGGCGAUGGUGGAUAUGGUGCGGGCAUCGACGUUGUACUUUCGAGCCGUCGUCCCCUUUGGGCGCUUCUGCUUUUGAUGGCACGUUGAUGCUGCCGGCUCUUUCGGGUGCGGAGAUUUCCUGGUUGUCGCUUUGGUCUUGGACCUUUGUGAACGUAUUGUAACGAAGCAUUCUUGCUUCUGCACGUAUGACCCUCGUGCUCGUCUAAGAGCUCACGGAGCCCCUUCGCUCGGUGUUCUUCUAGGGGAGCCAUCGAGGUGUACAGAAGAGUGCUACCUGGUUGAU